ensembl:lncRNA
UUUGUCUACAUAAGUAGUUCCCUGUUCAAAAAAAAACAAAAACAACAACAACAACAAAAAAACCCUGAAGAAACAGGAAAAAAUGGAACCGAGAAAAAUAGCAGAUAUCUCUGGCUGCGUUCUUGUGGUAUCUGUAUUCAGUUCAGCUGAAUCCAAGCUCACUGGAAAUUUUCCUGAAACUUCUUUUCCAGAAUGUUCCAUGUGACUUUGGAGUAAUUUAAUGACUUCUCUUGAUGGACAGAAACUUCUUGGUGCUGUUUUCCUCCAUUCCAAUGCUAGAGAGCUCAUCUCUCCUCACCUCUGCACUUGCGAGCUGACAUCACUACGAGAAUCCAGGUGCCUCUUACUCACACAGGGCUUAUAUACUUGUGAGGUUCUGUGGCUUCUGGUAACUGCAAUGGAAAGCCCUGGGGCAGAAGAAAAGCACUUCUUUGAGAGAAGCAAACUGAAUGAAAUGCAGUUUCUGCUUCUGCUGUCAGAGAUCAGAUACAGCACAGGUCACAGAUGACAUCUGCUGCUGCUGUGACUCUUUUUUUCUACACAAUUUCUGAGAGAGUUGUGAUCAAGAAAUGUCAUACCUGGGUCUGUGUAUGACUAUUUUGCUGGUUUCUUUCAACCGUGAAGCAGGCGAAAGGUCUUUUCUAAAACAGCAGCCCUGUUUCUUGCAGUGUUGAGCAGGGAGUACUAAAAAAUUGCUGAAUACCCCAAGCAGGCCUAUUUUCUAGCACACCUGAGCUCCACAGUUCAGGCAUGAGGGUGUCUUGGUUCUUUGCCAUGUACAGGCAUGCCUUUCUGCUGUGUACAAACCCCUGAAUUUGUGACCCACAAAUAGCUGUUCCUAGUUUUGCUUCUGAAUUCCUUUUUCAUCCUCCUUUCACCUUUCUGUCUCCUAAUCUUCAUAACACUGCUUUCCAUCAUGCUUUACCAGGGAGCAAUUCAGUGAGGCCAAAGUUGUAUGUGAGUGAAUGAAUAAUACGUGGAGGCCAGUGUUUCUGAGAAAUCCAAUCAUAACAAAACAGCAGCUGUACCAGUAAAGGGCCUUUUAAUUGUUGGUGUAAAAAUUUAAGAACAUUGGGAAAUACAACUUUUGUGUCGUAACAACUUCAUAGAAUUUAAAAUGAUGAAAUCCAGUUCCCUGCCUGGUGCAUAUCUGUGAGGAAUCAGGUUUAAAAAAAAAAAAAAAAGCCAAAAAUCUUCUUUCAAAUCAAAUAUCUAAUUGAAUUGUGCUUACCCUAGAAAAAGAGGCUGUUCAGGUCAAGGUACAGUGCACAUGGGAAGGUGAAACAAAAUCUUGAAUUACUUGAUUUUCAGUGUCCUCAGCAGGAGCCUGAGACUUGGGUUCAGAUUUUGCCACCAGUAAAGCAGUAAGUGAUGAAGCUAGUAGUCAUGCACUGAGAAUAAUCGUUCCUGUUGGAAUAUUGCAUGUUGCCACCUCUGCUAAGCAUCUUUUCAUUCAAAACCACAGAAAAUACUGGCAAAUGUCACAAGGAGGCACAUGGAUGAGUGAAUUGAUUUAGUAGUUUAUUCAACAAAUGUUGUGUAACAUUAAUUCAUGUUUAUGCUUGCAAGCUAGCAAUUAAUUGCAGGUGGAAAUACCGUUGCAAAAUACACUAUUUGAAGCAGAUAGUGCAAUGUCAGAUCAGCCUACUGAACCGGCCAAUGCUCAAAAAUUGGUGUUAUAAAACACCAAUAUAAAAUCAUUAUGAAGUGUUCUGAGCUUUGGUACAAUUGAUGUACAAUGCUUGCUAUCAGGCACCUGGUACAUAUGUUUAUGUUAGAUUGCAAAAUAAAUUUAAGAGUAGG